rnacentral:rRNA from 1 species
GAUGAACGCUGGCGGCGUGCCUAAUACAUGCAAGUCGAGCGAACGGACGAGAAUCUUGCUUCUCUGAUGUUAGCGGCGGACGUGUGAGUAACACGUGUAUAACCUACCUAUCAUACUGGUAUAACUUCGGGAAUCCGUAUCUAAUACCGUAUAAUCUUUUGCACCGCAUUGUUCAAUAGUGAAAGACGGUCUUGCUGUCACUUCUCGAUGCAUCCGCGCUGCAUUAGCUAGUUGGUAAGGUAACGGCUUACCAAGGCAACGAUGCAUAGCCGACCUGCGAGGGUGAUAGGACACAUUGGAACUGAGAAAGGGUCAAGAGUACUAAGGGAGGCAGCAGAAGGGAACCUUACGCAAUGGGCGAAAGCCUGACGGAGAAAGGGCGAGUGAGUGGUAAAGGUGGUGGGAUCGGAAAAAUCUGUUAUUAGGGAAGAACAUAUGUGGAAGUAAAUGUGCAGAUAGUGACGGUAACUAAUCAGAAAGCAACGGCUAACUACGUG